GGGUGCGAUCAUAUCUAGCGCUACAGCACCGGAUCCCUUCCGAACUCGGAAGUUAAGCGUGCUAGAGCGGGAAUAGUACUAGGCUGGGUGACCUCCUAGGAAGACCUCGUGCUACACCCC